AUAUUUUAAGACCUAAGUCUUCUUAAUAUCUUCAAUAUUAUACUUUUAAAUAAGCUAUUAAAAUA
rnacentral:tRNA from 1 species